UCGAGCGGUAACAGGCGUAGCAAUACGUGCUGACGAGCGGCGAACGGGUGCGUAAUACAUGGGAAUCUGCCCUUUGGUGGGGAAUAACCCGGCGAAAGCCGGGCUAAUGCCGCAUGAGAUCUUCGGAUGAAAGCGGGGGAUCGUAAGACCUCGCGCCGAUGGAUGAGCCCAUGUCGGAUUAGCUAGUUGGUGAGGUAACGGCUCACCAAGGCGACGAUCCGUAGCUGGUCUGAGAGGACGGCCAGCCACACUGGGACUGAGACACGGCCCAGACUCCUACGAGAGGCAGCAGUGGGGAAUAUUGGACAAUGGGCGAAAGCCUGAUCCAGCGACGCCGCGUGUGUGAAGAAGGCCUGCGGGUUGUAAAGCACUUUCGAUGGGAACGAAAUGUGCCGGGCUAAUACCCCGGCAAGCUGACGUUACUCAAUGAAGAAGCACCGGCUAACUCUGUGCCAGCAGCCGCGGUAAUACAGAGGGUGCGAGCGUUA
rnacentral:rRNA from 1 species